AUUGGUCUUUCGUAGUUCGCCCAUCAACGGUACUCCGGUUGGUCCCAUUACCCCCUUCCUUGAUUUUCCGCACCCCAUGGGCUUCGGCCCCGUUUUAUCUUUUUAGGAACAAGUAACAUGGCAACCGGUACCGUCAAGUGGUUCAAUGACGCAAAGGGCUUCGGCUUCAUCACCCCGGAAGGCGGCGGCGACGAUCUGUUCGCGCACUUCUCGGAAAUCCGCGUCGAAGGUUUCAAGACGCUGCAAGAAAACCAGAAGGUCGAAUUCGAAGUGAAGACGGGCCCGAAGGGUCUGCAAGCUGCGAACAUCCGCCCGCUGUAAUUGCUGCGCGAGAUUUCGUGAAAAAAGCCCCGCUUCGGCGGGGUUUUUUAU
rnacentral:misc_RNA from 1 species